ensembl:lncRNA
CUAAUGUUUACUUUAUUUUGAGUAACUUUUUUUAAUGGUUUUGUUUUUGUUUUGACAGAUUUUCUGUAUUUUUUUCCCCAAGCAAAACCUAUGGAUGCAUAAAACAAAUGAACAAAUACAAUGGGAUUCAUCUUUGAUGUAUUUCUGUAACAACCAGUGGUUGCUUCCUUUAGAUUACUCAGGAACUGGUUACAACGCAAUUAGCAGCAAUACCUGCAGAAAACAUUUCCUGUAGUUAUUUAUGCAUUUCACUCUGCUGUGUCUCAGUCCUACUCGGUGACAUUGUCGUUUUUGAGCAUGAUUUGGGUUGCCACAGCAUUUCAGUGGAGUUAAAGUGCAAACAUGAAGCGCCCUGUUUUCAAACCUUUAUUCUGAGGCCUGAGACGUUUCAGAUCAUUGUCUUGCAGCAUGAGCCAGCUGUGCUUCAGCAUCAGUACACAGACAGACGGACAGCUUCACUUGAAGAACAGAAUCAAAAUUCCUUUACUGAAAAGGCAUCUAGUUCCUGAAGCAGAUAAACAUCAGUGUCUGCUGCUAUGAAGAGGUUUUUAUGAAAUGAAGAUUGAAAACCAAAAAAUGCACUUGUCUGAACACAUACCAUGUAAAAUAUAUAAACUUUUUGAACAGCAUUAUAAUUGCUGUUUGAUUUGUUUGAAAUUGUUUAAAAAAAGAAACCAGAAAACUGUUUUCAAUAAAUCAAUUGUUAAUUGAGCAUCAUCAUUGUGGUUUUACCAAGUAAACCUAUUUUUUUCAGCUUUUUCAGGAAGUGACAUGCUCAACAAUUUCUCACCUCGCUGCUCUGGAGCUCACUCUUCUUUUCUGUUGCAGCUUCAGUGAUCAGAUAAAACCAUGAAGCCGUUUGGACUCUGUUUUUCUGCUGUGUGCAUAUUGUGCUGCUGCUGUCUUGUGUGUGGCAGAGGUCAAGGUGUGUGCAGUGUAGGGAAGUUCAUUACCAGAAUCAAUUUAACCACAGAACUACAGUCUGAAAUCCUGCUGCCGUGCCUUUUUGAAGCAGCUCUCAUUGGAUCAAACCUGAACAUGAGUUCACUUGCUGUGUGGAAUCACAUUACUGAAACCACUGACGGCAUUGUAGAGAUCAAAGUAAAUGAUCAUGAAAUCUUCUGGAAUAACAGAGGCAAUAGAAUUAAGGCAUUCGGUGCUGCUGCUGCAUCUGGAAACUUCUCCAUCCUGAUUGAAGAUGUGCAGCUGUCUGAUCUGGGGCUCUACCGCUGUGAACAUUUCAUAGAUACCAACUGUUCUCUGGGCUAUAAAGAGAUAAACAUCAGUCUGGCUGCUGAGUUUUCACCGCUCAAUAACUGGCAGCUCAUAGUUGCUGCAGGAGGAGGAGGAGGAUUCCUUCUUCUCUGUCUGAUCACCGUGUGUGUUUACUGGACAUGGACAAAACGACAAACAGUUGAUGCAUCAGUCAACCACACAUCACACAAUUGUCAUGACAGUGAAGGACAAAAAAAUGAUGAAAUAACCUAUGCGUCAGUUGUUCCUAAGUCACACAAUUGCCAUAACAGUGAAGGACCAAAAAAUGAUGAAAUAACCUAUGCAUCAGUUGCUCUUAAAUCACACAACUGCCAUGACAGUGAAGUUCUUCUGAAUAAUAAACCUGUAAAAGGCUCUGCAUCAGAAACCAUGGUCAACCCAGAGACGGUCCUUUACUCUACCCUCAAGCAAAGAGAGGGAAGAUGA